CUAUAUGGCGGUUGUACGUGGGGCACCUUCGGGUGCGCCGGGUUUCUCGAGUUACCGGUCUGCUAACCCGCGUACAGCUGCCACCCUU
rfam:Pseudomonas alkylphenolica strain KL28 chromosome, complete genome.